GACGAUUCAGACGACAUUGUCAUACACAACCUUAAUGCAUUGCGUAAAGGUUGAAUUUGAAUAUGACACUAUGUACUCCAGCAUUAAUGUAACAUAUUGU